CCUGUGCUGCUUCAGGCAUGUGGUCCACAUAUCUAUGUACGUGCUUGGCUGGUACAUUUAUGAACAUUUAUUAUAUAUAUAAGACCUUAAAUUUUUUUAUUUCAGCAGAAUACAACAUAGGAGGUUAGAAUUCCUCACUUACACACACACACACACACACACACACACACACACACACACUUGAACACCAUCAUCUUUGUUUAAUUCUUGGGUGCAAUGAUGUAUUCUUCAUGUGUCCUAGCUAUUGCAACAUCUUUUUUUUACAGCGUGCAGGAGCUCUGAGGACCAAAUGCUGAGGGAUAGAUAGAUAGAUAGAUAAAACUUUAUUCGCAUUAGCCAAUGGCCAUAGCAACAAUAAAACAUUACAGUAUACGCAGAAAGGGAAAUUUGAUAUAAGAGCACAAUUUAAAGUCCUGAAUCAGCAGUCAGUUAGUGGCCCAUAUUCUGAUUGCCUCUGCUAUGAACCUAGCAACCUUUGCUGUUAUCUGCUCAUUUUGAUCUGAUAGAAGAAAGGACAUUGUGGCAGCGGUUGAGCGCCCUGGGAUGGUUAGUACAAGUGGGGUGAUGAUCUCGUUUCUCAGGUCUUUGUAGAGAGCGCAAUGCUGAGGGAAAUUGGGGUGUUUCAAGGGUCUUUCCCACACCCCAGAGGCAAAGUGGGGUGUCAAUAACCCCCUUCCCUCUGGACAUAGCUGUCAACUUACAGAUUUGAAAAUAAGGGACCCGCAGCCUCGGAAAUAAGGGAUGAGCAGCCAAAAGAAGGGAUUUUGCUUAGCUUAUGAGUUCCAUCGGCCCUUUCCCGCCCGAAAGGGAGGGAGAGAGACUCUCGCCCACGCCGCCCGCAAGCCCGGCACGAGGAGGUUGCGGCGCCGCAGUGGCCGCUGAAGCGCCGCCCUUCUGUGUCCCUCCCCAUCCCCUCCUCUUCCUCCUCCCUCAGGCGCCUCCUCAGCCGCAGCCGCCGCUGCCUCCGGCUUCCCCAGGCAGCGUGGUGGAAGUCUCGCAAGAGAGGGGCUGCCUGCCCACCCGCCGCCACCCGUCUUCUCACGACGCGCCCCUGAGGGGGGAAAAGGGAGAGACGUAGACGCGGCAGCUCGUGCGCAUGCUCUCUCUCAAGGCGAAGGACCCCGAGCCGCUGCUUCCCUCCUGAGCUAGGCGACCAUGAAACCCGGGAAAUUUAAGGGACAUCAUCAAUAAGGGACAGCAGCGGGACACGGCGCUGGGAUAAGGGAGUUUCCUGCCAAAUAAGGGACGGUUGACAGCUAUGCCUCUGGAUCAGAUUAGGGCUCCCACAAAGCAUUGUGUCACUCUGAGGUUUCUCUGCAUUUCUGAAUUUACAGCUCUAUGAUUUCCUGCGUGUUUCUUUAGGUCAGGGUCCUGUUUCUCUAGGUCAGGUCUAGGUCCUUUUUUUAGGAAGGAGGAAGGCCCAUUUGGGGGGGUGUUGGGUCCAAGUUGUUGCAUUUUUUUCAGGGAGGAGGUAAAAUGUUGACCUUUUUUUAGGGGAGCCACAGUUGUUCAGCUUCUUUGGGGGGAGCCAAUGAUCUACCAGUGAUCUACCGCAGAUGUCCAGUGAUCUACCGGUACAGGUAGAUCACGAUCUACCUGUUGGACAUGCCUGCUCUAGGUCAAUGAGUUUUGCAAAAUGGUGCCUGAAGAGCACAGAAGCACUCUGCUUUAUUUUUUGUUAAAACAGUAGCAGAUAACAUUUAAAAAAUAAAUAAAUUAAAAUCUUAGGGUUGUUGUUUUUAAUUCCACAUUACUCAGCUGUAACAAAAAAGAGUGAGCAAGCUAGAGCUCUUCAGAACUUGUCAGGCAGUGUUCCGGACAACAUCAUGUUGUAAAGCCUAUUAAAGGCCUGAAAGAUAAGAUCACUGUGAAGCUGUCAAGUUUUUAAAAAUGUACAAGGAAGAAUACACACAAUUUGUCCCACUCUUAAUUAUCUGAAACUAAGAAAGAGCAAGAGAGAAACCCCUCCUGCCCUUGAAAAAGAUGCUAAUAUAGAUUUUGGAUGUUCAGUUAGCCUGAUAAAAAUAUGGGCCUAAUAUGGAUGAUAGAGGAAACUGAAUACAGUGGUACCUCGGGUUAAGUACUUAAUUCGUUCUGGAGGUCUGUACUUAACCUGAAACUGUUCUUAACCUGAAGCACCACUUUAGCUAAUGGGGCCUCCUGCUGCCGCCGCACCGCCAGAGCCCAAUUUCUGUUCUUAUCCUGAAGCUAAGUUCUUAACCUGAAGAACUAUUUCUGGGUUAGCGGAGUGUGUAACCUGAAGCGUAUGUAACCUGAAGUGUAUGUAACCCGAGGUACCACUGUACUUUUGCUUUCCUCACAAAAAGCCCCUGGAUCUCUUAUGUCUGCAAUCUGACAGGCUUAAUCCACACUGGAGUGGCUCUUACACCUGCAAAUUUCAUCCACUUUGUCCAAAGGUGGAAAAAAAAGUUAUAGCUCUUUUUAGAUAAUCUGAUAGUGAAUGAGAAACACAGAGCUUUGUUCUAAGGAGAGUCGCUUGCAACACACACAAAAAAUAGAUUGACACAAAGAGAGAGCACUGAGUGACUCAGAACAUGCCAUUAAGAACAACAACAGAUACACAUAUAAGACAAAUCUAUGGCCAUGUGCACACUCCUACUAUUUUCCUUUUAAAAUAAAAAAAGGGAAUGUUAAGCUGAAAUGUGUUCUGGGGGAAGAAGGAUUUUCUUUUAUUUGGUCUGAAUCUUCCUGCAUCUCAAAGGUAAUCUAAUCCCAAACCCUGCCAAACUGAUAAAUUCACUUCUGCAUAGGUGGCUACACAGACGAUGCUCAAAGAUUUCCAGCAAAUGAGAGUUCGCCUCCUUCCAAGGAAGCUUGUUCCAUUGUCAAAUACCUCAUAUUUUCUGAAAAUAUUUUCUGGAUGCCUAUUGUGAAACCCUCUUGUGUGGAAUUCAAAACUGCUUGUUAGCAUCUGUGUGGCAGAGAAUUCCAUCGGUUAAGUGUGCUUCAGAAAAAGAAAAGAAAAGAAGAGCCUGUCUUGAAUCUCCUGCCCAUCAAUUUCAGUAGAUGACCUCAGGUUGUAUUGUUAGGAAAGGAGAGAGAAAAAUGUCUCUCUGUCUACUCAGGCUCCGGAGUACCUGAAAGUUGCCUCUGCUGAUUCGUAAUGUGACAUGCCUGGCUGCAUCUCAUGACUACCAUCUGGAAACUGCUCUGUGUUUUGAGAGAAAAGGUGAUGCCAAGACUGCUUAUAUAAUAUUCCUCUGCUGCAAAAAUAGGCUCAGGGACUGAAAAGUUAUAAUGAGCAGCACUCUUUGCAUAUAGAAGAAAUGGACAUCUGUAUUCCUGAUCGCUGGAGCAGCCUGCUAUGAAGCUUCAGAACAGGCUUCCCCAAUGGGGUGCCAUUUGGAUGUUUGGACCUACAAAUCCCAUCAACCCCAUCCAGCCUGGCCAGUUGUCAAGGAUGAUGGGAGUUGUAGUCCAGAACAUCUGUAGGGCAUCAGGUUGGAGAAGGUUGCUACAGAAGCAUUGCUUCAUAAAUUUGCUUCUGCACUUUUGCAGGAGAAUCCUAUUCAAAGGGGACUGACUCUCAUGUGCUUACAGGACUACAGCCAUAAUUUGCACAACUCUUUACAAUAUUCUUACUAUUAUUAUUUUGCAAUACAGUGGUACCUUGGGUUAAGUACUUAAUUCAUUCCGGAGGUCCGUUCUUAACCUGAAACUGUUCUUAACCUGAAACACCACUUUAGCUAAUGGGGCCUCCUGCUGCUGCCAUGCCGCCGGAGCACGAUUUCUGUUCUCAUCCUGAAGCAAAGUUCUUUUUUUUUUAUAAGAUAUUUAUUGAGAUUUUCAAAAUGUUACAAAAAAGAAAAGAAAAAAGAAAAAAAUACAAAAUAAAAAUGGUUAAAAACAACUCAAUCUUUCCAUUACUUAUUUUUCAUUAGCUUGUUUCCCGGACCUCCUCACGUCUCCCUUUUUUGUAUUCCAGUUCAGUUUGUUGGUUCAGCAAAUCCUUACCCUCUUUGUUUAUCCUAGUCUUUAAUCUUAAAAUAUUGUAACGUUAAAUUUUUACCUAUUAAUAAUCCAUUUUUCAUAUUCCCUUAUAGUAUUACAGCUGAAAACCACUUAAUUUCUAUCCAACAUCAUUCUAACAUUCAUUAAUUUUACAAUAUUUCUGUAGAUAGUCUUUAAAUUUCUUCCAAUCUUCUUCCACCGACUCUUCUCCCUGGUCUCGGAUUCUGCCAGUCAUUUCCGCCAGUUCCAUAUAGUCCAUCACCUUCAUCUGCCAUUCUUCCAGAGUGGGUAGAUCUUGUGUCUUCCAAUACUUUGCAAUGAGUAUUCUUGCUGCUGAGGCCCCAUGACUAGGAGCCUUCAAUGGCACUGUCAGGCAAAGAAUGUCCUGAGUGAGGAAUUAACACUUUAUUGUCAAGAGUGCACUUACGCUUCAUUUACAUUCAGUAUGAGACACUGUUGUCAUAUGCAUUGUGUGGUUGGGGGGAAAGAGAGAGGAGACAAAGAGGAGGGGAGAGUGAUGCAAGGGGAGGAAUAAUGAUCUUUCAUUCUAUUGCAUAGUUUUUUUGCAGGGUUUUUGUAUCAGUCCUUUACUCUCUCUCUCUCUCUCUCUCUCUCUCUCUCUCUCUCACACACACACACACACACACACACACACACACACACACACACAGUGGUACCUCGAGUUAAGUACUUAAUUCGUUCUGGAGCUCCGUUCUUAACCUGAAAUUGUUCUUAACCUGAAGACCACUUUAGCUAAUGGGGCCUUCUGCUGCUGCUGCGCUGCCGGAGCACGAUUUCUGUUCUCAUCCUGAAGCAAAGUUCUUAACCCGAGGUACUAUUUCUGGGUUAGCCGAGUCUGUAACCUGAAGCGUAUGUAACCCGAGGUACCACUGUAUAAACCUCCCAAAUAAAAUAAUCUGAUAACAAUGUCACUCACCUCUUUAAUUCUGUCUGCUUUCAUCUCCAAUUUGCCAGUCAGCAUGCAGCUCUUGAGAGAAUCUGUUCCACUGUCAAACAGCUCUGUCAGAAAGUUCCUCCUAAUGUUUAGUCGGAAUCUCCUUUCUUGUAAAUUGAAGCCAUGGGUUCGAGUCCUACCCUCCAGAGCAGGCAUAGGCAAACUCAGCCCUCCAGAUGUUUUGGACUACAACUCCCAUGAUCCCUGGCUAACAGGACCAGUGGCCAGGGAUGAUGGGAAUUGUAGUCCCAAAACAUCUGGAGGGCCAAGUUUGCCUAUGCCUGCUGCAGAGCAAGAGAAAACAAGCUUGUUCCCUCUUCCAUGUGACAGCCCUUAAGAUAUUUGAAGAUGGAUAUCAUAUCUCCUCUUAGUCUUCCCUUUUCCAGGCUAACCAUACCCAGCUCCCUCAAGUGCUCCUCGUAAGACUUGGCUUCCAGACCCUUGAUCAUCUUGGUUGCCCUCCUCUGUGUACCUUCCAGCUUGCCAAUAUCCUUCUUAAACUGCAGAGGGAAGUAUUCCAGCCAAGAAAAAUAACUCGAUGAGUGUGCGAAGCAGGGCUGGUGAGGGCUGUGACCUGGGGCAAAUUGGAGGGCCAGACAGAGAGGGCACAGGCCCAAAGUCCCACUCCUUUGUUCUAGAAAACAUCUGCCUCCAGAGGUUUUUAUUUUCUUGUUCAGGGACCAUAAAGGAUUAUUUUCCAAUCAGCCACAAGCCUCCCCUCAUGCUGAUUGACAGGCCUCGUUUGAUCUUACUCCCGCUUGUUGAAUAAUUUUGAUCAGCCGGCUAAUUUUAAACACUUUCAAAAGAAUAGCAGUGGGACUUGAGGCAUCUAUGGGACUUGGGUCUCUCUCUGUGUGCCCCCCCCCCUUUUGGGGGCAAUGAAAAUUCAUAGGAUUUCCAAAAUAAACUGUCACCAAUUCCUUCUGACAAGAGGGCUUGAACUGAGAACACUACAGAGGGGUGUCAGGGUGGGUUAUAUAGUAAUAUAGCAACGAUUGCUACAUAGUAGAAAUUAGAAUAAGCAGAUUUUAUGCAAAUCAAUGUCAUCUCGCGCACGUGUGUGUGUGUGUGUUAGUGAUCCAUUUCCUCUUACAGUCGUACCUUGGUUCUCAAAUGCUUUGGUACUCAAACAACUUGGAACCCAAACACUGCAAACCUGGAAGGAAGUGUUCCGGUUUGCGAACUUUUUUUGGAAGUCAAAUGUACUCCAUUUUGAGUGUUCUGCUACUGAUUUGAGUGCCACACUUCCGUUUUGAAUGUUAUGCUGAGGUCUGUCUGUUUUUGCUGUAUUCACCACGCUCUGUAGGCACUUCCUAUCAGUUGAUGUCAAACCAGUGUACCACACCGUGAUGCAGUAUGAAAGGACACUUUCUAUUGUUGACCGGUAGAAGGAGACCAUCAGAUGUUGAUUGACAUCCUUCUUCCGCAAUACUCUGAGGAGAUGGAGUCUCUGUUGGGCUUUCUUAACCACCUGGGUUGUAUUUAUUUUCCAAGUAAGAUCUUCACUGAACUCCUGACAAUGGCUAGUAGUCACCAAUAGGGAUGAUGGUGGUGCUGUGAUCUAAACCACUGAGCCUCUUGGGCUUCCUGAUCAGAAGGUCGGCAGUUCAAAUCUGCACAACAGGGUGAGCUCCCGUUGCUCUGUCCCAGCUCCUGCCUACCUAGCAGUUCGAAAGCACACCAGUGCGAGUAGAUAAAUAGGUACCACUGUGGCGGGAAGGUAAACGGCGUUUCCAUGCGCUCUGGUUUCCAUCAUGGUGUUCCGUUGUGCCAGUAGUGUUUUAGUCAUGCUGGCCACAUGACCUGGAAAGCUGUCUGUUGACAAAUGCCAGCUCCCUCGGCCUGAAAGCGAGAUGAGCACCACAACCCCAUUAUUGCCUUUGAAUGGACUUAACCGUUCAGGGGUCCUUUACCUUUACCUUUACCUUUACCUCCUCCAUGAAUCUGACUGAUUUUCUUUCAAAGCCAUAUAAGUUGGUGGCUAAUACUGCCUCCAGUGGCAGUGAGUUCCAUAGUUUAAUAGCACUAUGGGCAGUUAGAUUGAACCGCAUGCCGAAUGGCAAAACCACAGCAGAGAGACAGUUACAAACUCCACCGGGAGGCCAUUCUUUCAAUGCCGACACAGCAUAUUUUUGGAUUCGUCAGCAUUGUUCCGGCUCUUAUUUUAGAUUAUUUCCACCGAGCCAACCUUGUCAUGGCUAUUACUUUGAAAUGGGUGGUCAAAGAAGUAAAUAAAUAAAAAUAAAUGCAUGAUAUGCUCUCUCUCUCUCUCUCUCUCUCUCUCUCUCUCUCUCUCUGUCUCUGCUUUUUUGCGCUUCUCGGUUCCAGGAAAUCUAUGGGAGAAGCCCAGCCAGCAAAGUGCCAUUGAAUCCUUGUUGAAGACAAGUGCUCAUGAAGUCAUUUUAACAAGCUCCAGAUAAUGCAUCCAGCUGACAUUUAAAAGGAAUAACAAUUAAAACUGAUUAAAUUAAAAUGUCAACAUUUGGUAGAUACUUGAAGGCUGUGUUCCUUUCUCUCUCCUUUUAAAAACAAAACCUUUUAAAAUCCCACUUAACAAGUCAAUGAAAUGAAUGAUCUAGAAAGCCAAAACCUUAAAAUGGUAUUUUAAAACUAUGUCUAUGUCCUGACUCCUUAGAAGGUAUUUUUGAUCUAGCUAUACAGAUUUUAAAGUUAUAUAUAGAUUAAGAUUAAGGAUUAGGAUUAAAAAAGUUAAAGGAAAUGGAAAUUUGGCUUUUAAGAAGUAAAAAUUUAAUGUUAUAUUAUAUUAAGAUUAAGGAUUGGGAUUAAAAAAGAGGGAAAGAAAUUGCUGGACAAACAAAUUGAACUGGAAUACAAUAGAGGGAGGUAUGAGGAGGUCCAGAAAAUAAGUAAACUUAAAAGUGGUGAUGAAAAGGUGGUAUUGUUUUUAACUGUUUUCUUUUCUGUCUUUUCUUUUCUUUUCUUUUUUUGGAUUAUGUAUUGUGUAUUUUUGAAUUGUGUGUUUUUCUUUUUUCUUUUUAAUUUUUUGUUAAUUGAUGUGUUCUUUUUAUUGGAAACCCUAAUAAAUAUCAUUAAAAAAAAAUAGAAGGUAUUUUUGAGACCACUUGGGGGGGGGGUGUCUUUCUAUCUCUUUAUUGUGCAUACUGCUUAGAGACUUUUCUGAUUAAGUGGUCUUUACAUUUUUUAAAAUAAAAUCUAGGCCUUGUUGGUGGUGCCUGGUUGGUGAUUACCCAUGACAGGGCCUUUUCAAUGAUGGCUCCCUUGUUGUGGAAUGCCAUCACUAGUGAGAUGUGCGGUUCUCAAUCAUUAUUAACUUUCAGGAGGAAUUUGAAAAUAUGGCUGAUCAGACCCUCCAAGCGUUAGGGCGGUUCAUAAAAAAACUUUUUUUUUAAAAAAAAUGCCUGCUCCAAAGGUCUUAUCUUACUACACUAGGGAUUAUAUAGCUAUAUCUGAAAUUUCAUGCAUAUCAGUUAAUAUCUUGACCCUGCUCCACUGAAUUGAAAUUUCAGCCUUCACGACAUAGGAAAACGGCCAAGUAAACAGCUAUUUUCGUGGAGGAGGGUCAAGAUAUUAACUGAUGUGCAUGAAAUUUCAGAUAUAGCUACAUAAUCCCUAGUGUAGUAAGAUAAGACCUUUGG